rnacentral:rRNA from 1 species
ACGAGCGCAACCCCUGCCUUUAGUUGCCACCAGGUCAAGCUGAGCACUCUAAAGGGACUGCCGGUGAAAAACCGGAGGAAGGUGGGGAUGACGUCAAGUCCUCAUGGCCUUUAUGUCCAGGGCUACACACGUACUACAAUGGGCGGCACAAUGAGUUGCAAACCCGCGAGGGGGAGCCAAUCUCAAAAAACCGCUCUCAGUUCGGAUUG